rnacentral:tRNA from 1 species
UCCCUGGUGGUUCAGUGGUAAAGAAGUCUCUGUGCUUCCACUGCAGGGAGCUCAGGUUCAAUCCCUGGUCAGGGAA